CAACAACCUCUCCAAUCACCGGCUCAUCACCAAUCAUCACCGGCACGGGGGAAAAAAUACAGCACUGACAAGUCCGUAGAAAGCGCGCGAUAGAAGAGUUGCGCAAAGAGGAUGCCGGUAUAUUCAGUAGGCGCGUAAAGAGCAGCUACAUACGUCGUGUUUCACCCGACGAACGAGGUCUCGAAAGAGAAUCACCGACUUCCGUUUCAUCGGACACCCUGUAUGAGACGACAGAGCGAAAGACAGCCGCAGAGGAGCAGCUAGGCGCGAGAAGGAGUGACGGAGGGAGACAGAAAGGGAGAGACUCGGCAGGUGAGACUCGUGGUCGUGAGUAGUGGAAAUCGAAGAAGAUGUUUCAGGAACGAUCGAAUGUUUCUACUUUGUUCUGCUCUGGUUUA
rnacentral:misc_RNA from 1 species